GUAAGCAAGCAGUGGAGCUGGAAACCUGGCAGUAAACUCUUUUGUCUUUCCCGCUUGUAUCCGUGGAGCCUGUAUUUUGCAAGGCUGGCAAGAAGAUAAGCAGUCUGGAGGAGGAAAGUAGUGGAAGACUCGCACCACAAGUGUGAGCAAUAAGCAGUUUCAACCUGGUACAGUGAUCAUCUCCAGGACUGGGACCCACUAAGUCUUAAGGUUUGUUUCUGAGUGUGGUGCCAUGAGAGAUGCUGUGGUCCAUGACAGGUUGGGAUUACCAUGAUCAAGUGCUC